rnacentral:snoRNA from 1 species
UCACAAGGAUGAAUGGUCCAAAACAUUCGCGGUUUCCACCAGAAUUGAAAGCCAUGUUGGUAAUUUACCUUCCUUGGAUGUCUGAGUGA